rnacentral:rRNA from 1 species
CAAUGGGUGCAAGCCUGAUCCAGCCAUGCCGCGUGAAGGAUGAAGGCCUUAUGGGUUGUAAACUUCUUUUAUAGAGGAAGAAACCUUUUUAUGUGUAGAGAGCUGGCGGUACCCAACGAAUAAGGACCGGCUAACUCCSUGCCAGCAGCCGCGGUAAUACGGAGGGUCCAAGCGUUAUCCGGAAUUAUUGGGUUUAAAGGGUCCGUAGGCGGGUUUUUAAGUCAGUGGUGAAAGCUUGGAGCUCAACCGURGAACUGCCAUUGAAACUGAUAUUCUUGAAUGUGGGUGAAGUGGGCGGAAUUUGUCAUGUAGCGGUGAAAUGCUUAGAUAUUACAAAGAACACCGAUAGCGAAGGCAGCUUACUAAAUAGWGACUGACGCUGAGGCACGAAAGCGUGGGGAGCGAACAGGAUUAGAUACCCUGGUAGUCCACGCCGUAAACGAUGAUUACUAGGUAUUGGCGAUACACAGUCAGUGUCGCAGCGAACAC